UCAUCCUUGAGAACUUGAACCACAUACAAGAGAGUGUCCUUUACGUCCUAAAGCCAGUAAAAGUGAGAAUUUCUUUCACGAAUCAAGACUACAAGUCAAAGAGAUGUUUGACAGUCCUCCAAACAACUAAAUGUCCACAAACACAGCCAGAUGGUGUGAUGGUGAUGGUCCCUUUCUGCCUUCAACUGUCCUUCAUAUAAUGAAGUGGAUGGAUAACGAGAACAAGACAAAAUGGACCCAAUUCAACCAAUUUAGUGAGAUGGAGGUGGUUACUCUUGAACCAGUACCAACAGAAUGCCAUCAGCAGCCUUCAACAAAAGAAAUAAAUCCUCAGACCAGACUCCGAUAAAGACACGUCAGAAAUCUUCAAGAAUAGGACACAUGUAA